rnacentral:rRNA from 1 species
UAGGGAAUCUUCCGCAAUGGGCGAAAGCCUGACGGAGCAACGCCGCGUGAGUGAUGAAGGUCUUCGGAUCGUAAAACUCUGUUAUUAGGGAAGAACAAAUGUGUAAGUAACUCUGCACGUCUUGACGGUACCUAAUCAGAAAGCCACGGCUAACUACGUGCCAGCAGCCGCGGUAAUACGUAGGUGGCAAGCGUUAUCCGGAAUUAUUGGGCGUAAAGCGCGCGUAGGCGGUUUUUUAAGUCUGAUGUGAAAGCCCACGGCUCAACCGUGGAGGGUCAUUGGAAACUGGAAAACUUGAGUGCAGAAGAGGAAAGUGGAAUUCCAUGUGUAGCGGUGAAAUGCGCAGAGAUAUGGAGGAACACCAGUGGCGAAGGCGACUUUCUGGUCUGUAACUGACGCUGAUGUGCGAAAGCGUGGGAAUCAAACAGG